GCAUAUCAAUAAGCGGAGGAAAAGAAACCAACAGGGAUUGCCUUAGUAACGGCGAGUGAAGCGGCAAAAGCUCAAAUUUGAAAUCUGGCACCUUCGGUGUCCGAGUUGUAAUUUGAAGAAGGUAACUUUGGAGUUGGCUCUUGUCUAUGUUCCUUGGAACAGGACGUCACAGAGGGUGAGAAUCCCGUGCGAUGAGAUGCCCAAUUCUAUGUAAAGUGCUUUCGAAGAGUCGAGUUGUUUGGGAAUGCAGCUCUAAGUGGGUGGUAAAUUCCAUCUAAAGCUAAAUAUUGGCGAGAGACCGAUAGCGAACAAGUACAGUGAUGGAAAGAUGAAAAGAACUUUGAAAAGAGAGUGAAAAAGUACGUGAAAUUGUUGAAAGGGAAGGGCUUGAGAUCAGACUUGGUAUUUUGCGAUCCUUUCCUUCUUGGUUGGGUUCCUCGCAGCUUACUGGGCCAGCAUCGGUUUGGAUGGUAGGAUAAUGACUAAGGAAUGUGGCUCUACUUCGGUGGAGUGUUAUAGCCUUGGUUGAUACUGCCUGUCUAGACCGAGGACUGCGUCUUUGACUAG
rnacentral:rRNA from 1 species